CCCUACGGGAGGCAGCAGUGAGGAAUAUUGGUCAAUGGGCGAGAGCCUGAACCAGCCAAGUCGCGUGAGGGAGUACUGCCCUAUGGGUUGUAAACCUCUUUUGUCGGGGAGCAAAAGCCGGACGUGUCCGGCUGUGAGAGUACCCGAAGAAAAAGCAUCGGCUAACUCCGUGCCAGCAGCCGCGGUAAUACGUAGGUGGCAAGCGUUAUCCGGAUUUACUGGGUGUAAAGGGCGUGUAGGCGGGAGAGCAAGUCAGACGUGAAAUUCCAGGGCUCAACCCUGGAACUGCGGUUGAAACUGUUCUU
rnacentral:rRNA from 1 species